rnacentral:rRNA from 1 species
AUUGAACGCUGGCGGCAUGCUUUACACAUGCAAGUCGAACGGCAGCACGGGCUUCGGCCUGGUGGCGAGUGGCGAACGGGUGAGUAAUAUAUCGGAACGUACCCAAGAGUGGGGGAUAACGUAGCGAAAGUUACGCUAAUACCGCAUACGAUCCAAGGAUGAAAGUGGGGGACCGCAUGGCCUCAUGCUCCUGGAGCGGCCGAUAUCUGAUUAGCUAGUUGGUAGGGUAAAGGCCUACCAAGGCAUCGAUCAGUAGCUGGUCUGAGAGGACGACCAGCCACACUGGAACUGAGACACGGUCCAGACUCCUACGGGAGGCAGCAGUGGGGAAUUUUGGACAAUGGGGGCAACCCUGAUCCAGCAAUGCCGCGUGAGUGAAGAAGGCCUUCGGGUUGUAGAGCUCUUUUGUCAGGGAAGAAACGGUUGUGGCUAAUAUCCAUGACUAAUGACGGUACCUGAAGAAUAAGCACCGGCUAACUACGUGCCAGCAGCCGCGGUAAUAC